CAAAAACAUGUCCUCUUGGUCUAUUAUAUAAGAGGUCUGGCCUGCCCGGUGAUUAAUUUAACGGCCGCGGUAUACUGACCGUGCAAAGGUAGCAUAAUCAUUAGUCUUUUAAAAGAGGGCUGGAAUGAAAGGUUUGACGAAGUGUUAACUGUCUCAUCUUAUUUGAAUGUAGAAUUUAACUUUUUAGUCAAAAGGCUAAAAUUUAAUUGGAAGACGAGAAGACCCUAUAGAGCUUUAUAUUUAUUUGGUUAAUUGUAUAUAUUAUUUAUGAUUAAUUAGGUUAAUAUUUUGUUGGGGUGACAAAAAUAUAUAUUAAACUUUUUUAUUUAUUUAACAUUGAUAUAUGAUUGACUGAUCCUUUAUUAUUGAUUAAUAGAUCAAGUUACCUUAGGGAUAACAGCGUAAUCCUCCCCCAGAGUUCAUAUUUACGGGUAGGGCUUGCGACCUCGAUGUUGGAUUAAGAUAAUGCUUAGGUGCAGCCACUUAAGUGAUAGGUCUGUUCGACCUUUAAAUUCUUACAUGAUCUGAG
rnacentral:rRNA from 1 species